UACGGGGGGGGCAAGCGUUGUUCGGAAUUACUGGGCGUAAAGGGCUCGUAGGCGGCCAACUAAGUCGGAUGUGAAAUCCCCAGGCUUAACCUGGGAACUGCAUCCGAUACUGGAUGGCUUGAAUCCGGGAGAGGGAUGCAGAAUUCCAGGUGUAGCGGUGAAAUGCGUAGAUAUCUGGAGGAACACCGGUGGCGAAGGCGGCAUCCUGGACCAAUAUUGACGCUGAGACGCGAAAGCGUGGGGAGCAAACAGG
rnacentral:rRNA from 1 species